UCCCAGAUGCUUUGUAGUAGUGGGCUGGACUGGGCUGUCUGCAGGAGCAGAGCAAGGUUGGCCCCACCCCUCUCCUUCCAAAGAAACAAGUUUGGAUUCUGACUGAAAAAAAUUCUGCUAGAUCUGCACAUUACAAGCUUUUCUACAUUUCCAGAGACAAAAUACUUGUCGCCCCGUUUGAUGGAAGAAAAAUCUUUGACAGAAUAUUUUAAGGCAGGAUAAACAAAGCACUGAAGCGGAUUGAAAACCCAGGAGAGAGUAACCAAUGUUACCAUUUACAGAUGCUGAGCAAACCAUUCCAGAGUGGUAGUGUCUUCCCACAAACCGCAGCUUCACAUACCUGAUCUUUCACUGUUUUUAAUCUAGUUACAAUCUCUGGGUUAUUGUCCUUUGGCUUUCCAUUUUCCUGAAACAAGUCUCCAAUCCUUUGGUGGCUGGGUGACCAAAAGUUUCAAAGCAAAUUACGAGUGUUAAAUGAUAUAAUUCGUCUCUAUAUUCAUUAUAUACAAGCCUUAAGAUAGUAAUUCAAAUGAAAGAUGAUGUUUAAUCUGUCACUAAAUUACAUAUGUACCUGCUUCUAGCACUUAUUGUCAAGCAAAUCAAUAUCUGAUUGCAUUUUAAUAAAGAACAGCUAAAACAGAAUAUGUUAGGUUCUUAAAACAGCUUUUACAAAGUAGGAUCAAAGUUUAGGUUGAGGACAUAAGUGCACUGCUAAAGCAAAUAUUUUAGAACGUACACACCUAGUUCAUGAGCUGUUCUAGUUCACUGGGAGUUAAUUUUUUCAGUGUCUUGCUAUGGAACUUCAAGUACUUAGUAUAGUAAACCUUGCUAAUAGACGAAUAGACUAUCUAGAGAGAUCCAAUUCAGCAGACCCUGAGCUCAGGGGGGCCUUGGUCCUUUCCUCCGCAGUGGCACCCCCUGGGGCCACCUGGGCAAAGUGCUAGCUGCAAUGGUUGCUGCCCCGGGUCAAAGACAGCACACAAUCCAAUCCAACCCCAUACUGGUGAACAAGUUAAGAGGCUGUGACUUGGAUGACUACACACUCCGGUGGGUGGUGAAUUGGCUGGAGGGUCGCACCCAGAGAGUCGUGGUAGAUGGGUCAGUUUCGACCUGGAAGGGUGUGGGCA